UACGUAGGGUGCGAGCGUUGUCCGGAAUUAUUGGGCGUAAAGAGCUUGUAGGUGGUUUGUCGCGUCUGCUGUGAAAAUCCGAGGCUCAACCUCGGACUUGCAGUGGGUACGGGCAGACUAGAGUGUGGUAGGGGAGACUGGAAUUCCUGGUGUAGCGGUGGAAUGCGCAGAUAGUCAGGAGGAACACCGAUGGCGAAGGCAGGUCUCUGGGCCAUUACUGACACUGAGGAGCGAAAGCGUGGGGAGCGAACAGGA
rnacentral:rRNA from 1 species